rnacentral:ncRNA from 1 species
UCUGACUGUGUAAUGAAAACAAAGCAUCGCGAAGGCCCGCGGCAGGUGUUGACGCGAUGUGAUUUCUGCCCAGUGCUCUGAAUGUCAAAGGGAAGAAAUUCAAUGAAGCGCGGGUAAACGGCGGGAGUAACUUUGCCAGUAUCAUCCUAGACGAUGCAGAGUCCUUAAAAUGUGACAUCCCAUCACACGAAAUACACGAGGUAUUCAAGUUGAGAUGGGAGUCACCAGGAACAUUCAAAAGCCUGGGUGCCUUCAGGGCCAAUGAUCAUGCCGAUAACUCUGCAUUCAAAACCCUCAUCACAGCAAAAGAAAUUGCUAAAAACAUCAAAGAAAUGAACAAGA